GUGGCAGCCAACGUGGCAUAUGCCAUUUCAUCUGCCCAUGUUGACAACUUACCACAUCAGCGGAAAAAAGAAUAACAAAAAAAUUAAUGGAAUUUCUUAUUUUUAUAAAAUAAACCACUUUCUCCGUGUUCAGGGCACAAAAGCAGCCAACCACCAUGAAAGUAGCAGCCAACCACCAUCAACCCAAACUCAUGUUUAACCGUAAUCCACUAUCAUUCGUCGGGACCACCGUUGGUCAUCGCUUGUUGGAACCAUCGUUGAUUGUUGUUCUUCGGAAACUGCUUCUCCAAAAGUUGGAUUUGUUGCAAAGUGUGACUUCACCGGAGCCUUUAUCAGAGCAACUAAGGAAUUGAAGAAUGUAUAUCCAGGAAUUGCCCCCACCAUAUAUAUCCAGGAAUUGGCACGGGUUGUAUAUCCCGGAGUGGCUUCCUAUAGAUCAAAUUUCAAAUGCCUUUGGUUGCACAAAAUAUCAAAUUUUGUGGUUAAGAAAUCUGUAUAAGAAUUUAUGAAUCUUACCCCUUAAUAUUCAAUUCAUUAUUUUGCCCUCUUAGUCAAGAACUUUACCAUUAUUCAAUUCAUUAUGAGAAUUGGCAUAGAAUUGAAUAUGUGUAUCCAGGAUUUGUGAUUAAGGAAUUCUUAAGCUACCUAGUGCAUUUGAAAUUUGAUAUUUUGUAACCAGUCCAAGAGCCCUGGUAAUGCAAAAAUGCAGGUUCAUGGAUACUCAGUCUGCCCAGUCUUACUCCAUUAAUUCAGGUCCCUACAGGGGUAAAAUUAAAUUUGUCGAUGCCCAUUCUAACCAAAGUUCAAACUGCCCAGAUUUUUUCCAGAAUUGUGCUAUGACAGUUACCCAACUUCUGCAAAUCUCAGUCUUCACUAUACAGCUUCAGUCAGCAGAUUUCUAGAAUUUCUAACACUGCCCAAAUACAUUCCAAGAAGAUUUUGCUGGAAGAAAAAGGCCCAGAUUCUACAGUUCUAGUGCCGAGAUGCUGUCUCCAAAACCAGCUUUAGCCAUACUCCUAUACAGCUUGAAAAUUCUUUAUAUAAUAUUAUGAUCUAUGUUACUUCCUCUAGAAACAGAAGCAAAAUGCAACUUGGAGGCAUCGGGCUGACUUGGCUGCAGUAACUUUGGUUGGACAUCUAGAGAUGAUAAUAUGUUUCAAAUGUAAUAUAGAAACAUAAUGCAAGAAAUGUACUUUUUAUUGAUUUCAUGUAAUGAGAACCAGUUUAUGGAUUAUAUUCAAUACAAGCUUUCUUCAUUGCUACA